ACGUAGUAGCAUAAGAAGCAAAAUGAAAAUUCUUAUGUACGUUUUAAAAUAUCUCUUGGCAGAGAUUUGUGCUAUCAUUUUCAAACUUAGGUUUAUCCACCCUCUUCUGUGCGUGUACCAGUAACUAUUACUCUCCGAAGAUCUGCUUGGUAGCAAUUCGAGCUUUCAACAGGAAGCAUUAAACAUCGAGUUUAAAUUUCAUUUCUUCAUUCUACAUCUAAGUGGAAAAAUCAUGCAGUGUGCUUCCUUGGCAGCGAUUUGAAUGAACACCAUUACGGUUCCAAACGUGUUACCGUUAUUAGAGCACUGCAUUUCAUUAGAAGAAUCAGGAUGGCCGCGUGGCAACCUUGAAAGCAGAGCAAUAAAAAUAUCUCCCGAAUUCCACCAGAUUCUAUAAAUUGUGCAGCGUAAAUGCUUCCUUCAACAUUUCAAUAUGAAGCCAAUAAUUUUGGCACUACUUCAAACGGCGCUGAUCAUCUGACACUUCGUACAAGCUGCUUAUCUUAUUAAUCUUGUAGAUCACGGUGCACUUAUCUCCGAUGGAUCACUAAUAGAUGUUGAGGGUCCAAAUUUUCAAAGGCCAGAAAAACUUUUGGAAACGCAAUAUGAAAUAAUCAAGAAAUUUAAGGAAAAAGUUCAAAUGUCACUCAAAGUCGCAUCGUGGUCCGAUUAGGGUUAAAGAAGCAAUCAGCAAUGGGUCAUUUUCACCUUUCUGGUAGUUCUAGUGUUAAGGUGGCACCGAUCGACGGUACGCAGAGGACCAACGUUCGACUUUUCCUUUACUAAGAUGAUCUUACAUUGGGUAUUAUCGAGUAAGAAGAAUUCUGUCUACUUUCUGGACAUUUGUGUCGUAAUGGUAACUACAAGCGAUUGUCGGUGAAUGACAAAGGAUUGUAGGGGAGAUGAUCAUGUGUUCAAAUACGUACACAUAUGGUAAGGUAGAAUUUUCUAGGUGUAAAAUAAUGGUGGAAACUUGUUGGAAUGUAGUCUUUUAGCUGCAAUUUUAGACUUGAGAAGGCGUUGUGUUUAGGAGACCCUCUUGUCAGCGUUGCUUUCACUCUGUUUUUUGUGUCUCGGGACUUGGAGCUGCUUUCCCUUAACACUAGAACUACCAGAUGGGUCAAAAUGACCCAUUCCAGAUUUCUUCUGUUGCACUUAUUCAAAAAGUACAGAUGCUUCUGUGAGAAAUCGUUAAAGAAGUCGAUUUAGUAGUACUUACACUGAAAUAUAAGCCAAUUGAAAAGUCAGUUUAAGUGCUUGGUAGUUCUAGUGUUAAAACGGUACCGAUUAAUAAACCGUGGACGACCAGCGUUUGACUUUACCUUCGCUAAGGUUAUUUUAUAUCGAGUAUUAUCGAGUAAGAAGAAUCCUGUGUCUGUUUUCUGCAAAUUUGUGUCGUAAUGGUAACUACAGGCGAUUGCCAGUGAACGAGGACGUGGGUAAGAUUCUAGGGGAGAUGGUCAUUGAAACGUAUGGGAAGGUAGGAUUUUGUAGGUGUAAAAUGGUGGAAACAUUGUUGGAAUGUACUCUUUUAGCUGCAAUGUUAGGAUUUCCCUAUCGAAAGCAACUAGUCGUCAUAAUAUUCGGAUAUCGAGUCACCAGCCCUGCCACCAUUUGUAAAACGCUAUAAGAAUGGGCCCACGGCCCAAAACAGAAUAGUUGCAUUCCGCCAAGGUAAGAAGAAACGUGACAAUUUCUUUCUCCCUGUUUUACGCUGGCUACGGCACGUACUAGUUUGGGAGUAAUGUAACUCACGAGGAAAACGCCGUAACAAAUCGACGAGAUUUUUUCUGUUUAUUGAUUCGUAGCGAGUCCGUCCUAGAAACUUCGCUCGUGUUUCUUACGACGAGCACAGAUGCCACGAGGGACCGCGAGUGAUUUCGGUGCCGCGAUGUAUUAAUAGACAGGCAAAGACGGGUAUUCCUGACUGUUCGUAUGUACGUUCCUACCUUCGAUUGCUGCCGAUCGGAGUUACCGAAAAUUUCAUUGAAAUAAUUGGCACUCGCCGGGGAUGAUCGAUUACUCGAUCCUCCGGUAAUCAACGCGACUAUGCGGCUCGUUUAUUGGCCGCUUAAGUGGUUGUAAUUAGAGUGAUUUAUUUGUGAUUUUUUAUGAAUAUUAGAAUAAUAGGAUUUUUGGGAUUAGAAGGGUGUUUUAAUAUUGUAUCUGUAUGGAUGGAUAGAUUUAAUUUAGUCCUUUGCGAAAAUAUUUUGUGAUUUCAUACUAAUUUCUACUGAAGGUGUUCAGAGAUAUCACUUGAAGUUUUAAGUUAAAAUUAUUUUCUUAGUUUAAUAAUUUGUCCCCGAUUGAAUUUUGGAUAUUUUCUGUAGCUUAUAAUCGUUAUAGGAAAUCGAAAAGUUAAUUUACAAUAUACGACUAAACUUGGAAAAGAAGUUUAAGAUAAGUUUAAGUUUCAGAGGCCAUUUAAGCCAUUUAAGCCAUUUAAGAUAAAUUUCGGAAUAAACAUUCUGAGGUUGCUCAGUUUGACUCGAGUAGUAGUUUUAGUGUUACAGAAAAUCGACUCUGGUGGACUUAAUUAAGGACAAGUUAAUGAAGAUUUAAUGUGAUUGAUAUGUAAUCUCUAUAAAAAUUGUAAUGAUAGCUUGUUUUCAAUUUCUUUAGGUAUUUAUUGUAGGAUUUAAGUGGAACUAUUUAUUUUUGAAAUCAUUUUGAAU